GACGAACGCUGGCGGCGUGCUUAACACAUGCAAGUCGUACGGUAAGGCCCUUUCGGGGGUACACGAGUGGCGAACGGGUGAGUAACACGUGAGUAACCUGCCCACAACUUUGGGAUAACGCUAGGAAACUGGUGCUAAUACUGGAUAUGUGCUCCUGCUGCAUGGUGGGGGUUGGAAAGCUCCGGCGGUUGUGGAUGGACUCGCGGCCUAUCAGCUUGUUGGUGGGGUAGUGGCCUACCAAGGCGGCGACGGGUAGCCGGCCUGAGAGGGUGACCGGCCACAUUGGGACUGAGAUACGGCCCAGACUCCUACGGGAGGCAGCAGUGGGGAAUAUUGCACAAUGGGCGCAAGCCUGGUGCAGCAACGCCGCGUGCGGGAUGACGGCCUUCGGGUUGUAAACCGCUUUCAGCAGGGACGAAGCUUUUUGUGACGGUACCUGCAGAAGAAGCACCGGCUAACUACGUG
rnacentral:rRNA from 1 species